UACGGAGGAUCCGAGCGUUAUCCGGAUUUAUUGGGUUUAAAGGGAGCGUAGGCGGACGCUUAAGUCAGUUGUGAAAGUUUGCGGCUCAACCGUAAAAUUGCAGUUGAUACUGGGUGUCUUGAGUAUAGUAGAGGCAGGCGGAAUUCGUGGUGUAGCGGUGAAAUGCUUAGAUAUCACGAAGAACUCCGAUUGCGAAGGCAGCUUGCUGGACUGUAACUGACGCUGAUGCUCGAAAGUGUGGGUAUCAAACAGG
rnacentral:rRNA from 1 species